UCAAACCUCAGAAUGCAGCAUUUCCCAAGGCUUACUGAUGGUUUUAAGGGGGACCAAACUUUCAGAUAAGAUAUUUUAUACUUUGAAAAUCCUUUUAAGAACAGCAUGCUGGAACAAGUGAUGCUAGGAUGAGGCAGUAGAAGAGUUCAUAAGCUUCUUUGACCCCUAGUCUUCUGUGAUGUUCAAUGUUAUUAAGUGGUAUCUGUUGCUGCUGCUACUGCUAAGUCACUUCAGUCGUGUCUGACUCUGUGCGACCCCAUAGACAGCAGCCCACCAGGCUCCCCCGUCCCUGGGAUUCUCCAGGCAAGAACACUGGAGCGGGUUGCCAUUUCCUUCUCCAAUGCAUGAAAGUGAAAAGUGAAAGUGAAGUCGCUCAGUUGUGCCCGACUCUUAGUGACCCCAUGGACUGCAGCCCACCAGGCUCCUCCAUCCAUGGGAUUUUCCAGCUUGGUGCACUGUUCAAAUCUCCAAUAAGAUUCUAAUGGCUGGUAGUAGCAGGUACCUAUGUCUCCAUUUUAAAGGGAUGACUAAAAUAUGGUUUUACCAGUAGUCAUGUAUGGAUGUGAGAGCUGGACUAUAAAGAAAGCUGAGAGUGGAAG
ensembl:lncRNA